rnacentral:rRNA from 1 species
AUUGAACGCUGGCGGAAUGCUUUACACAUGCAAGUCGAACGGCAGCACGGGGGCAACCCUGGUGGCGAGUGGCGAACGGGUGAGUAAUACAUCGGAACGUGCCCAGUCGUGGGGGAUAACGUAGCGAAAGCUACGCUAAUACCGCAUACGAACUCUGGUUGAAAGCGGGGGAUCGCAAGACCUCGCGCGAUUGGAGCGGCCGAUGGCAGAUUAGGUAGUUGGUGGGGUAAAGGCCUACCAAGCCGACGAUCUGUAGCUGGUCUGAGAGGACGACCAGCCACACUGGGACUGAGACACGGCCCAGACUCCUACGGGAGGCAGCAGUGGGGAAUUUUGGACAAUGGGCGCAAGCCUGAUCCAGCCAUUCCGCGUGCAGGAUGAAGGACCUCGGGUUGUAAACUGCUUUUGUACGGAACGAAACGGCGACCGCUAAUACCGGUUGCUAAUGACGGUACCGUAAGAAUAAGCACCGGCUAACUACGUGCCAGCCGCCGCCGUAA